rnacentral:misc_RNA from 1 species
AACCAUUCUCACCUGCGGCUAGACCUGCGGAGGGAUCAUUACACAAUAACAUAUGAAGGCUGUACGCGGCUGCGCCCUCGGGCCAGUUGGCUGAGGCUGGAGUAUUUAUUACCCUUGUCUUUUGCGCACUUGUUGUUUCCUGGGCGGGUUCGCCCGCCACCAGGACCACAUGAUAAACCUUUUUUUAUGCAGUUGCAAUCAGCGUCAGUACAACAAAUGUAAAUCAUUUACAACUUUUAA